UAACGCGUGAGGAACCUGCCUUGAAGAGGGGGACAACAGUUGGAAACGACUGCUAAUACCGCAUAAGCCCACAGCUCGGCAUCGAGCAGAGGGAAAAGGAGUGAUCCGCUUUGAGAUGGCCUCGCGUCCGAUUAGCUAGUUGGUGAGGUAAUGGCCCACCAAGGCGACGAUCGGUAGCCGGACUGAGAGGUUGAACGGCCACAUUGGGACUGAGACACGGCCCAG
rnacentral:rRNA from 1 species